CUGUUAAUUCCUCGUAUUCUUGAGUCUUUGCCUCAAAGGAUUGAUCGUGAAAGCUUCUUGCUUGCACUUCACAUGGCGGCAGAAGCAGGGAAUCCUUACUUCCGAUUGGGUUACAACAGCUUGGGUGCAUUUGCUACCAUCAAUCACCUUCACUUCCAGGUUUCUAGCUAUACACUUUUCUACCAAGCUGAUACUAACUAUAAGUUCCAGCUUCUGAUAUGGUUCACUACUAAUUAUAGUUAGCAGUCAACAAUACUAGUUUGCUUAUUUUUAUUUAUUGUACAGGCUUACUACCUUGCUGUAACCUUUCCCAUUGAGAAGGCUCCUACUAAAAAGAUAACCAGUUUGGAUGGUGGGGUGAGGAUUUCUGAGCUUCUGAACUAUCCUGUUAGAGGUCUGGUUUUUGAGGGUGGAAAUACUCUGGAAGAUUUGUCAAACUCUGUC
rnacentral:lncRNA from 1 species